CAGGCCUAACACAUGCAAGUCGAACGGUAGGGGGAGCAAUCCCCCGAGAGUGGCGAACGGGUGAGUAACGCGUGAGAAUCUGCCUUCAGGAUGGGGACAACAGUGAGAAAUCGCUGCUAAAACCCAAUGUGCCGAAAGGUGAAAUAUUUAUAGCCUGAAGAGGAGCUCGCGUCCGAUUAGUUAGUUGGUGGGGUAAAGGCCUACCAAGGCAGCGAUCGGUAGCUGGUCUGAGAGGAUGAGCAGCCACACUGGGACUGAGACACGGCCCAGACUCCUACGGGAGGCAGCAGUGGGGAAUUUUCCGCAAUGGGCGAAAGCCUGACGGAGCAAUACCGCGUGAGGGAGGAAGGUUUUUGGAUUGUDAACCUCUUUUUUAAAGGAAGAAGAAAGUGACGGUACUUUAAGAAUAAGCAUCGGCUAACUCCGUGCCAGCAGCCGCGGUAAUACGGAGGAUGCAA
rnacentral:rRNA from 1 species